rnacentral:rRNA from 1 species
GAUGAACGCUGGCGGCGUGCUUAACACAUGCAAGUCGAACGAUGAAGCCCAGCUUGCUGGGUGGAUUAGUGGCGAACGGGUGAGUAACACGUGAGUAACCUGCCCUUAACUCUGGGAUAAGCCUGGGAAACUGGGUCUAAUACCGGAUAGGAGCGUCCACCGCAUGGUGGGUGUUGGAGAGAUUUAUCGGUUUUGGAUGGACUCGCGGCCUAUCAGCUUGUUGGUGAGGUAAUGGCUCACCAAGGCGACGACGGGUAGCCGGCCUGAGAGGGUGACCGGCCACACUGGGACUGAGACACGGCCCAGACUCCUACGGGAGGCAGCAGUGGGGAAUAUUGCACAAUGGGCGCAAGCCUGAUGCAGCGACGCCGCGUGCGGGAUGACGGCCUUCGGGUUGUAAACCUCUUUCAGUAGGGAAGAAGCGAAAGUGACGGUACCUGCAGAAGAAGCACCGGCUAACUACGUG